rnacentral:rRNA from 1 species
UAAUAGCGUAUAUUAAAGUUGUUGCAGUUAAAAAGCUCGUAGUUGGAUUUCUGGUGGGAGCGAUCGGUCUGGCGCUUAGCGCGAGUACUUGCAUCGUCUCCGGCCAUCCUUGGGGAAAGUCUGUCUGGCAUUAAGUUGUCGGGCAGAGGAUCCUCAUCGUUUACUGUGAAAAAAUUAGAGUGUUCAAAGCAGGCUUAUGCCGUUGAAUAUAUUAGCAUGGAAUAAUAAGAUAGGACUUUGGUACUAUUUUGUUGGUUUGCGCACCAAAGUAAUGAUUAAUAGGGACAGUUGGGGGUAUUCGUAUUCCGUUGUCAGAGGUGAAAUUCUUGGAUUUACGGAAGACGAACUACUGCGAAAGCAUUUACCAAGGAUGUUUUCAUUAA